rnacentral:tRNA from 1 species
GCGGAUGUAGUUUAAUGGUAAAACGGCGGCUUCCCAAGCCGCAGUCGGGGGUUCGAUUCCCCUCAUCCGCUCCA